UCUUGAUUGUGUUUUAAGUGUUUUUUUGUGCGUGUUAUAGGUUUACAAAGUGAAGAAGCUCAAAGUCCCCCCCAAAGGGCCUCCAACAGAAAACACUAUUCACUAACUGCUCCAAAAAGCUCUAUUGUAGUCCAGCCUUUACCUCCAUGACAAACGUGCAUCACUUUGUAACACGUGUUAUAACGCUCGCCUAGCUGCUAGCGUCGCACGCCCUCAUACUCUGCGACUAACUAGCUAUCAGUACUUAACUGUGCCCGUGCGACUCCCAACAAAGUUGGUACAGAAGUGAGAUGUCUCACUCUGUAGCUAAAACAGAGAGCUCAACACACAGGGUGAAAGGAGGAGCUGCAGCAUUGUGCAGUACAACAAAUAUAUAGUGUUUUGGGAAAAUUAAACUACAUAAAAAUAUUCUGGUACAGCUUCAAAAUACAAUUCUAAACCUGAAAAUGAGCACAAUAUGAGUUCUUU